rfam:Planomonospora sphaerica DNA, contig: NODE_5_L447240_C33.
GAGAUGAGGUCUCCCACCCGUGAGGGGUAAGGCUCCCGGUAGACGACCGGGUUGAUAGGCCGGAGGUGGAAGCGCAGUAAUGUGUGGAGCUGACCGGUACUAAUAGGCCGAGGACUUGACCUC